rnacentral:rRNA from 1 species
AUUGAACGCUGGCGGCAGGCUUAACACAUGCAAGUCGAGCGGGGGAAGGUAGCUUGCUACCGGACCCAGCGGCGGACGGGUGAGUAAUGCUUAGGAAUCUGCCUAUUAGUGGGGGACAACAUCUCGAAAGGGAUGCUAAUACCGCAUACGUCCUACGGGAGAAAGCAGGGGAUCUUCGGACCUUGCGCUAAUAGAUGAGCCUAAGUCGGAUUAGCUAGUUGGUGGGGUAAAGGCCUACCAAGGCGACGAUCUGUAGCGGGUCCGAGAGGAUGAUCCGCCACACUGGGACUGAGACACGGCCCAGACUUCUACGGGAGGCAGCAGUGGGGAAUAUUGGACAAUGGGGGGAACCCUGAUCCAGCCAUGCCGCGUGUGUGAAGAAGGCCUUAUGGUUGUAAAGCACUUUAAGCGAGGAGGAGGCUCUUUUGGUUAAUACCCAAGAUGAGUGGACGUUACUCGCAGAAUAAGCACCGGCUAACUCUGUGCCAGCAGCCGCCGUAA